rnacentral:rRNA from 1 species
AACGGCUCUUCGGAGCAGUGGCGGACGGGUGAGUAACGCGUGGGAACGUGCCCUUUGGUUCGGAACAACACAGGGAAACUUGUGCUAAUACCGGAUGAGCCCUUCGGGGGAAAGAUUUAUCGCCAUUGGAGCGGCCCGCGUUGGAUUAGGUAGUUGGUGGGGUAAAGGCCCACCAAGCCGACGAUCCAUAGCUGGUCUGAGAGGAUGAUCAGCCACACUGGGACUGAGACACGGCCCAGACUCCUACGGGAGGCAGCAGUGGGGAAUCUUGCGCAAUGGGCGAAAGCCUGACGCAGCCAUGCCGCGUGAAUGAUGAAGGUCUUAGGAUUGUAAAAUUCUUUCACCGGGGAAGAUAAUGACGGUACCCGGAGAAGAAGCCCCGGCUAACUUCGUGCCAGCAGCCACGGUAAUACGAAGGGGGCUAGCGUUGCUCGGAAUUACUGGGCGUAAAGGGCGCGUAGGCGGACAGUUUAGUCAGAGGUAAAAGCCCAGGGCUCAACCUUGGAACUGCCUUUGAUACUGGCUGUCUUGAGUUCGGGAGAGGUGAGUGGAAUGCCGAGUGUAGAGGU